rnacentral:tRNA from 1 species
AUUUGAAUAGCUUAGUUUUAAGAGCAGUCGCCCGAAAAACGGAAGACCUGGAUUUGAUUUCCGGUUCAGUUA